UACGUAGGGUGCAAGCGUUGUCCGGAAUUAUUGGGCGUAAAGAGCUCGUAGGCGGUUUGUCGCGUCGAAUGUGAAAACCCGGGGCUCAACCCCGGGCCUGCAUUCGAUACGGGCAGACUAGAGUUCGGUAGGGGUGUCUGGAAUUCCUGGUGUAGCGGUGAAAUGCGCAGAUAUCAGGAGGAACACCGGUGGCGAAGGCGGGUCUCUGGGCCGAUACUGACGCUGAGGAGCGAAAGCGUGGGGAGCGAACAGG
rnacentral:rRNA from 1 species